UGACAGGCAGCUGGCGCUGUGUCUAUCUGAGGUCGAACGCUGUGAGCUGUUCGUGGGGAUCCUGGGCGAGAGAUACGGACAGACGCUGUCGGAGUACCCUCUGCCGGACCUGCCUCAGUUCGAGUGGGUGAAAUCUUAUCCGAAGCAGCGUUCAAUCACGGAAUUGGAAAUUAUGCAGUUUCUCCGACUCCAUGACGUGUCCCCCAGUGAACACGCCUUUUUCUACACCAGAGAUCCUUCUGUGCUGAGCUCCAUCCCAGAGGAAUAUCGGCCGGAUUUUGAGUCGGAGUCAGAGGAGGCGAGAUCGAGGGUCUCCGAGCUGAAGAGUCAUCUGAAGGACGCUGGAUUGCUGGUGUUGGAGAAGUGAGC